rnacentral:rRNA from 2 species
UACGUAGGAGGCAAGCGUUGUCCGGAAUCACUGGGCGUAAAGCGCGUGUAGGCGGAUGGCUAAGUCUGUUGUGAAAGCGCCUGGCUUAACCGGGCGAGGUCGAUGGAAACUAGCCGUCUGGAGGCCGGUAGAGGGGGGUGGAAUUCCGGGUGUAGUGGUGAAAUGCGUAGAGAUCCGGAGGAACACCAGUGGCGAAGGCGGCCCCCUGGGCCGCGCCUGACGCUGAGACGCGAAAGCGCGGGGAGCGAACGGG